AUGACUUGUGGCUGGGGGUGAAAGGCCAAUCAAACCGGGAGAUAGCUGGUUCUCCCCGAAAGCUAUUUAGGUAGCGCCUCGUGAACUCAUCUCCGGGGGUAGAGCACUGUUUCGGCAAGGGGGUCAUCCCGACUUACCAACCCGAUGCAAACUGCGAAUACCGGAGAAUGUUAUCACGGGAGACACACGGCGGGUGCUAACGUCCGUCGUGAAGAGGGAAACAACCCAGACCGCCAGCUAAGGUCCCAAAGUCAUGGUUAAGUGGGAAACGAUGUGGGAAGGCCCAGACAGCCAGGAUGUUGGCUUAGAAGCAGCCAUCAUUUAAAGAAAGCGUAAUAGCUCACUGGUCGAGUCGGCCUGCGCGGAAGAUGUAACGGGGCUAAACCAUGCACCGAAGCUGCGGCAGCGACACUAUGUGUUGUUGGGUAGGGGAGCGUUCUGUAAGCCUGUGAAGGUGUACUGUGAGGUAUGCUGGAGGUAUCAGAAGUGCGAAUGCUGACAUAAGUAACGAUAAAGCGGGUGAAAAGCCCGCUCGCCGGAAGACCAAGGGUUCCUGUCCAACGUUAAUCGGGGCAGGGUGAGUCGACCCCUAAGGCGAGGCCGAAAGGCGUAGUCGAUGGGAAACAGGUUAAUAUUCCUGUACUUGGUGUUACUGCGAAGGGGGGACGGAGAAGGCUAUGUUGGCCGGGCGACGGUUGUCCCGGUUUAAGCGUGUAGGCUGGUUUUCCAGGCAAAUCCGGAAAAUCAAGGCUGAGGCGUGAUGACGAGGCACUACGGUGCUGAAGCAACAAAUGCCCUGCUUCCAGGAAAAGCCUCUAAGCAUCAGGUAACAUCAAAUCGUACCCCAAACCGACACAGGUGGUCAGGUAGAGAAUACCAAGGCGCUUGAGAGAACUCGGGUGAAGGAACUAGGCAAAAUGGUGCCGUAACUUCGGGAGAAGGCACGCUGAUAUGUAGGUGAAGUCCCUCGCGGAUGGAGCUGAAAUCAGUCGAAGAUACCAGCUGGCUGCAACUGUUUAUUAAAAACACAGCACUGUGCAAACACGAAAGUGGACGUAUACGGUGUGACGCCUGCCCGGUGCCGGAAGGUUAAUUGAUGGGGUCAGCGCAAGCGAAGCUCUUGAUCGAAGCCCCGGUAAACGGCGGCCGUAACUAUAACGGUCCUAAGGUAGCGAAAUUCCUUGUCGGGUAAGUUCCGACCUGCACGAAUGGCGUAAUGAUGGCCAGGCUGUCUCCACCCGAGACUCAGUGAAAUUGAACUCGCUGUGAAGAUGCAGUGUACCCGCGGCAAGACGGAAAGACCCCGUGAACCUUUACUAUAGCUUGACACUGAACAUUGAGCCUUGAUGUGUAGGAUAGGUGGGAGGCUUGGAAGUGUGGACGCCAGUCUGCAUGGAGCCGACCUUGAAAUACCACCCUUUAAUGUUUGAUGUUCUAACGUUGACCCGUAAUCCGGGUUGCGGACAGUGUCUGGUGGGUAGUUUGACUGGGGCGGUCUCCUCCUAAAGAGUAACGGAGGAGCACGAAGGUUGGCUAAUCCUGGUCGGACAUCAGGAGGUUAGUGCAAUGGCAUAAGCCAGCUUGACUGCGAGCGUGACGGCGCGAGCAGGUGCGAAAGCAGGUCAUAGUGAUCCGGUGGUUCUGAAUGGAAGGGCCAUCGCUCAACGGAUAAAAGGUACUCCGGGGAUAACAGGCUGAUACCGCCCAAGAGUUCAUAUCGACGGCGGUGUUUGGCACCUCGAUGUCGGCUCAUCACAUCCUGGGGCUGAAGUAGGUCCCAAGGGUAUGGCUGUUCGCCAUUUAAAGUGGUACGCGAGCUGGGUUUAGAACGUCGUGAGACAGUUCGGUCCCUAUCUGCCGUGGGCGCUGGAGAACUGAGGGGGGCUGCUCCUAGUACGAGAGGACCGGAGUGGACGCAUCACUGGUGUUCGGGUUGUCAUGCCAAUGGCACUGCCCGGUAGCUAAAUGCGGAAGAGAUAAGUGCUGAAAGCAUCUAAGCACGAAACUUGCCCCGAGAUGAGUUCUCCCUGACUCCUUGAGAGUCCUGAAGGAACGUUGAAGACGACGACGUUGAUAGGCCGGGUGUGUAAGCGCAGCGAUGCGUUGAGCUAACCGGUACUAAUGAACCGUGAGGCUUAACCUU
rnacentral:rRNA from 1 species